UACGGAGGGGGCUAGCGUUGUUCGGAAUUACUGGGCGUAAAGGGCUCGUAGGCGGCCAACUAAGUCGGAUGUGAAAUCCCCAGGCUUAACCUGGGAACUGCAUCCGAUACUGGAUGGCUUGAAUCCGGGAGAGGGAUGCAGAAUUCCAGGUGUAGCGGUGAAAUGCGUAGAUAUCUGGAGGAAUACCGGUGGCGAAGGCGGCAUCCUGGACCGGCAUUGACGCUGAGGAGCGAAAGCUAGGGGAGCAAACGGGG
rnacentral:rRNA from 1 species